AACAUCGCGCACCUGCGGGAACCUGCGGAGGGAUCAUUACCGAGUGAGGGCCCUCCGGGUCCAACCUCCCACCCGUGUUUAACGAACCUUGUUGCUUCGGCGGGCCCGCCUCACGGCCGCCGGGGGGCACCCCGCCCCCGGGCCCGCGCCCGCCGAAGACACCUGUGAACGCUGUCUGAAGUUGCAGUCUGAGACACUAGCUCAAUCAGUUAAAACUUUCAGCAACGGAUCUCAGAUCGG
rnacentral:misc_RNA from 1 species